UACGUAGGGUGCAAGCGUUGUCCGGAAUUAUUGGGCGUAAAGAGCUCGUAGGCGGUCUGUCGCGUCUGCUGUGAAAACUCAGGGCUUAACCCUGAGCUUGCAGUGGGUACGGGCAGACUAGAGUGCGGUAGGGGAGACUGGAAUUCCUGGUGUAGCGGUGAAAUGCGUAGAUAUCGGGAGGAACACCAGUGGCGAAGGCGACUUCCUGGCCUGUUCUUGACGCUGAGGCGCGAAAGCUAGGGGAGCAAACGGG
rnacentral:rRNA from 1 species